CUAUCUCUUUCGCUUAUAUUGUCUGCCUCUAUCUGCUAUGCAUGUAUCAUCAAUCUAGAAAGAUCCAUAUCCUUAUUUAACAUAGCGAUUCUAAACUCUUUCAACACCAAAAUAAAAACUCCUAUCACAAACUUACACACACUGGUAUGGGUUUCAGAAAUGAAAUCAAGGGAAUAUUUUGCUAACUGGUUGAACUUCAAGCAGUACUCCUUAACAGUCAUGGAG
rnacentral:lncRNA from 1 species